rnacentral:tRNA from 1 species
GGGGGUGUAGCUCAGUGGUUGACCACAAGCUUGCCGUGCAUGUGGUCCUGGGUUCAAUCCCCAGUGCCUCCA